rnacentral:snRNA from 1 species
GGAUGUGAGGGCGAUCUGGCUGCGACAUCUGUCACCCCAUUGAUCGCCAGGGUUGAUUCGGCUGAUCUGGCUGGCUAGGCGGGUGUCCCCUUCCUCCCUCACCGCUCCAUGUGCGUCCCUCCCGAAGCUGCACGCUCGGUCGAAGAGGAUGACCAUCCCCGCUAGAGGAGGACCGGUCUUCGGUCAAGGGUAUACGAGUAGCUGCGCUCCCCUGCUAGAACCUCCAAACAAGCUCUCAAGGUCAAUAAAAAUGUCUUAUUUUUGAAACAUAAUAUAAUUCACUAGUGGCCUUUAAAGUUUAUUA